rnacentral:misc_RNA from 1 species
GAUGAAGAACGCAGCAAAAUGCGAUAAGUAAUGUGAAUUGCAGAAUUCAGUGAAUCAUCGAAUCUUUGAACGCACAUUGCGCCCGCCAGUAUUCUGGCGGGCAUGCCUGUUCGAGCGUCAUUUGUACCUUCAAGCUUUGCUUGGUGUUGGGUGUUUGUCUCGCCUCCGCGUGUAGACUCGCCUCAAAACAAUUGGCAGCCGGCGUAUUGAUUUCGGAGCGCAGUACAUCUCGCGCUUUGCACUCACAACGACGACGUCCAAAAGUACAUUUUUACACUCUUGACCUCGGAUCAGGUAGGGAUACCCGCUGAACUUAAGCAUAUCAAUAAGCGGAGGA